rnacentral:lncRNA from 1 species
GCUGCUGUCUUUUUGUCGAUCCCAAUCCUAAAGACGUUGAAACCUUUGCAUGCCAUGCAUCAACGCCUGGCGUACGUACACAAUUAAGCUAGAAGUUCCUCAGUUACACCAUGGGGGCGUGCAUGAUACAUCUGGCAGCCGAGUAUAACUGUUAGAUAAAGGUAUUAACAUUGCUACUAAUAAUUCCAAAAAAAAUCGCCAAUACAGUGAACAGUGGACUGCACUAUGAUCCGCAGAAAGAAAACAAUACCGACGACGAUCGAGCAAGUCUCGGUCACUGUCAGAUAUAUAUGCUCACUGCCACGAAAAAAAAAACACUCGUGGUGUUUCAGGUUGGGGUCGGCAUCUGAUCUGCACCAAGAGGUUUCACUUCGUGCUGCCCAAGAGGGAACUGUCAGUGGAGGCUGACGGCCUGCACUACGGGAUCAACCACGGCCCGGAGAAACCGUCCAAAGGCACGGCGACCUCCAGGGGCCACCUGCUGCACGGCGUGGUGCACCUCAACGGCUUCGGCCACCUCGUUGCCCUGCACGGCUUCGAGGGCGGCUCCGAAUUCGUCGCCGGCCACCAGAUCAUGGACCUCUGGGAUCGCAUCUGCUCCUCCCUAAACGUCAGGUGUGUGCAACGUUUGUUAUUUAUUAUAUAUGCCCCGUGCACUGCAUUUGAUCGAGUUCAUGACGACUAGUGUUUCGUUUGGUUAUUACUCUAUUAUUAUGCAUUGCAAAGGAAGGUGAGCCUCGUCGACACGGCGAGGAAGGGGCACAUGGAGCUGCGGCUGCUCCACGGCGUCGCGUACGGCGACACGUGGUUCGGGCGGUGGGGCUACCGGUUCGGCCGGCCCAGCUACGGCGUCGCGCUGCCGUCGUACCAGCAGUCGCUGCACGCGCUCCAGUCGGUGCCGCUCUGCGUGCUGGUGCCGCACCUGUCGUGCUUCAGCCAGGACCUCCCCGUGGUGGUGACCAAGUACCAGGCCAUCAGCGGCCACAAGCUGCUGAACCUCGGCGACCUCCUGCGCUUCAUGCUCGAGCUGCGGACGCGCCUCCCGGCGACCUCCGUCACCGCCAUGGACUACCGCGGCAUCAUGUCGGAGGCCUCGUGCCGGUGGUCGGCCAAGCGCGUGGACAUGGCGGCCCGCGCGGUGGUGGACGCGCUCCGCCGCACCGAGCCGCCCGCGCGGUGGGUCACGCGGCAGGAGGUGCGCGACGCCGCGCGCGCCUACAUCGGCGACACGGGCCUCCUCGACUUCGUGCUCAAGUCCCUCGGCAACCACAUCGUCGGCAACUACGUCGUGCGCCGCGCCAUGAACCCGGUCACCAAGGUGCUCGAGUACUGCCUGGAGGACGUCUCCAGCGUGCUCCCGGCGGUGGGCGGCGGCGGCGGCAAGAUGAGGGUGCGGUUCCAGCUCACGCGGGCGCAGCUCAUGAGGGACCUGACGCACCUGUACCGCCACGUGCUCAGGGAGCCGAGCCAGGCGCUCACCACCGGCGCCUUCGGCGCGAUCCCCGUGGCAGCGCGGAUGGUCUUGGACACCAAACACUUCGUCAAAGAUUACCACGAAGGUUUCGCUCCGAUCAACAGUGUCGGAGCUGGGCACGUCCACAUGAACCUGUGUUGCACGCUGCUUGUGAGGAACGGGAGCCCGGAGCUGGUGGCGCCGCCGUACGAGACGGUGACCCUGCCGGCGCAUGCAACGGUGGGCGAGCUCAAGUGGGAGGUGCAGAGGCUGUUCAGGGAGAUGUACCUCGGCCUGAGGACCUUCACGGCCGAGUCCGUCGCCGGGGUCGGCGUCAGCAAGGACGCUUGCCCGGUGCUCGGGCUCAUCGACGUGGGAAGCGCC